rnacentral:lncRNA from 1 species
UUGUAUAGCCUUUGGUCUUGUGUUUGUGUCUCUGCGUAAGUAAAGAGAACAUAUUUUAUGCUACUUAAUAAAUUUUGUAUGUUUUUCUUUUAAAGUUAGUUAGUUUAGUCUUUUUAAUCAUCGAUAUUUUUUUUUUGGUUUUACUGCUAUUCUUUUUCCCCUCUUUUCUUUUUUUUUCCUUUUUGCUUGCUUCCUUAAAUUGUUACUGGUCGGAUUAGGAGUUCUACGUUGUUCAUUUUUUCGGUUGAAAGGUUAUUGCGUAAGUUCUAUCGUGUUCUCUUUUAUUUUCGAGAAAAUUCGUUGUUUUGCUUCUAGGCUAGAAAUUACUUUUAUUUGUUGAAUUCC